rnacentral:rRNA from 1 species
UACGAAGGGGACUAGCGUUGUUCGGAAUCACUGGGCGUAAAGCGCACGUAGGCGGAUGUGUCAGUCAGGGGUGAAAUCCCGGGGCUCAACCUCGGAACUGCCUUUGAUACAGCACGUCUCGAGUCCGGAAGAGGUGAGUGGAACUGCGAGUGUAGAGGUGAAAUUCGUAGAUAUUCGCAAGAACACCAGUGGCGAAGGCGGCUCACUGGCCCGAUACUGACGCUGAGGCACGAAAGCGUGGGGAGCAAACAGG